UGCACUGCACUUUUCAUUCAUUCAAUGUCAACGAAAAUAUAAACAUUGUACCUGAAAUAAACUGUAGAGGGCUCUUGUGAAAAUGGCGUCACCAGCCGGCAGUGCGGAUCUGGAAGCAACUCUCCUGAGUUUUGAAAGGCUGGACCGUGCAUCCCCUGAGCUAUGGCCUGAGCAAAUUCCUGGAGUAUCCAAUUUUGCCGAUAUCAAGAGUCCUUUCAACAAUGCAAAUUCACCGCCAUGGGAAGCUGAUUUAGAGAAGAAUGACAUCGAUAUGCUCAAUGAAUUGGGUAGUUUAACCACAGCCAAUCUAAUGGAGAAAGUAAAAGGGCUGCAGAAUCUAGCUUACCAACUUGGCUUAGAGGAAGCUCGUGAGAUGACUAGGGGAAAGUUUUUGGAUGUUCUAUCAGGUAGCAACAAGAACAAGAAGAAAUGAGAAUUGUCUAUAAAAUUCAUCUUAUACAGCAGAGACUCUGAAAUGAUGAAAAAAGGAAUGAUAACUCAACUGAUAGUUAUCUGCCUAAAGAUUAAAUAAUAAGAAAACAACCAAAGCCUUGGACUUGUAUUGCACAAAAGUUUGCACUGAAUACCAAAUAUGAAAGAACUAUUGUGAUUGGUCCUGGUCCGUGUUUGAACAAGAUGCAGAUGCAACAAUGAUCUUGAUUGGCCAAUUUUGUUUAGCUAUUGGCAUCCUUGCGUUACGGAGUGCAGGGUGUGUUUCAUAAAGCAUCUUGUCAGACCUUUUAACUGACAAAUUGGUCUCAGCAAAUCAGAUGCAAGGAUAUCAGUUUUCAGGGAAAAUCAUUGACAAAUUGCAUCAUGAAAUAUGAUUUGGAUCAUACUUUGAUUUUCAGCUGCUGGAAGUCCUUAGAUACCCAUAUUUGUCAUGUAAAGCUCACAGGAUAUUUGUUGAGUCAGCUCUCCAGCAAUAAGGUUUUGCAUUCUGAGAAAAAUAGGCCAUUUCCUUACUGCAAUCACAUAAGUCUUGUGGAAUGUAAUAUUGAAUCCCACCCUUAGCCAAUGAUAAUAAUAAUGAUGAU
rnacentral:misc_RNA from 1 species